GCCUCCAUACUUGUCCUGAAGCAUCUGCGGAAGAUCCCAGUGAUAUAAAGUCACAUAAGGCUUGAUUCCUGAUUCAGAUAGGGUUAACUCAGUUUUUUUUUUCAGUUAUAUCAAAGCAAAACUUCUAAAAGACAUCUCAGAGGUAUCAUAAAGAACCAACCUUUUUCUAGUAACCCAUCAAUGAGUUUGUUGUAAUAUGUUAUGCCUUCUGGGUUUAGAUUCCCUGUUCCAUCUGUUGCAAUAAAUUUUCAAAAGCAAUCAGCUAUAGAUAGAAGAACAUUGCUAAGAAACAGAAUUGAUUUUUACUUUCCAUAACUUACUUGGAAAGAUUCUUGCCCAUGAGAUGGAGAAUCUGUAGGUAUCCAUUCCCAAAUCUUUCAUCAACCCUAUAUCAUCCUGCACAAGAUGUAAUCCAUUAUUAUUUUCACCUGAUUGGUUAUUUCUAGUUGAAAUCCCAAGUCUUGUAGCAUUUCGCGGGACUAAAAAAACCAGGCCAUUUUCUUUGAGUGUAGUGGAUUGCCAGUAGUUGAAGUAACCAAGUUAGACAAGGAAUAAAGACACUGAUAAAAUACUAUAUGCAUUUCCUUUUAUUCGUGAUUUUUUUUUCUUGUAGGACGGUGACAGUGACACAUCAUCGGCAUUAUCACUAGCUGUCGUUAUAUUAUUUGAUAUGUGGGACAUGUGGUCUUCUCUUAGUUUAAGAUUCUUAUCCAUCUCAAAAUUCUUGUUUUCUUUGUCCCUGCUCUUUUCUUUUGGCCGGUGCCUCUUUCAUUUCUGUGGAAAGAGUAGUCUUGAAUGAACUAGCUGAUACACGUUAAGACUUUCCCAAAUUUAAGUAUAAUCCUCAAUCAUCUUCACUUACACGUCUAGGAUUCUCGUACUUGUUUGUCUCUGUACUGACAUAAUCUGAUGGUUUCAGGGGGGGAAAAGGAUGGAAAAAAAUUGUUUACCUGAAACCUGUGGUAUUGAUCAACAGCGACAUCAGCAUUGCUGAAAUCCAAAAUUCUCCCUGGCGAAGACGACCCUGGAAAAGUAAGUUCCUUUCUCUUGUAUAAAUAAAUAAUCUGGCAUUUUCCUGAAAGGUGAUGAGAUUACUUACCGGGCUUUCUUGUGAAGGUAUCCCAUAUGCUAGCUCCUUUAUUCCCUUCAGUUGCAGCUCCUUCAAACUGAAAAGGAGAAAUUUGAUUAUCAAGAUGCUCUUCUAAGAAAACCAGACAGCUUCAGGAACACUUCUAUUGAGUUGAGAAGGAAAGAGAACUUGAUAA
rnacentral:lncRNA from 1 species